CAAAAAUAUCGAAUGCCAUGUUGAUGUUGAACAGAUGGAAAGUUGGGAAGAGGGUGUCUAGAACAGGGGAAUCAUGAUUAGCUUUGGAUGGAAGAAGAUGAAGACAUUUUAAGUCCCGUUGCUGCAUUGUGUCUGAGAUGAUCCCCACAGCGAUGGCGUUUGAUAACUUGGACAAGUUGGUGGAUGUAGAUGCUUAGCCAAUUAGUCACUAGGCUUGUGAAUAUGAUCAAACAGCAAUCAUCUACUUUGAAAUAUACAUGCAUUUUACAGGAAUCCAAAUGCUUACAAGGACAAG